rnacentral:rRNA from 1 species
CGGAUCACAUUAUGUGACAUAUCAUUCAAGUUUCUGACCUAUCAUCUUUAGACGGUAGGGUAUUGGCCUACCGUGGCUAUGACGGGUAACGGGGAAUUAGAGUUCCCUUCCGGAGAGGGAGCCCGAGAAACGGCCGCCACAUCUAAUGAAGGCACCAGGCGCGCAAAUAACCCAAUCCAAAUACGGGGAGGUAGUGACAAGAAAUAACAUUACAGAUCCUUACGGUUUUGUAAUUGGAAUGACUUAAGUAUAAACCCCUUAACAAGUAUCAAUUGGAGGGCAAGUCUGGUGCCAGCAUCCGCGGUAAUUCCAGCUCCAAUGGUGUAUAUUAAAGUUGUUGCAGUUAAAAAGCUCGUAUUUAAUUUUCUGUUAAUUUUUAUAUACAAUGCUACGGUCUUUAUAUAAUAUUAACAUAAUUCACAUUACUUUUUAGUAUAUGAAACUUUACUUUGAGAAAAUUAGAGUGCUUAAAGCAGGAUAUUGCCUUGGAUACUCCAGCAUGGAAUAAUAUUAAGGAUUUUUAUUUUUGUUAUUGGUUCUAGAAUAAACAUAAUGAUUUAUAGGGACCGUUGGGGGCAUUUGUUUUUCGGACUGGAGGGGGAAUUUUUUAGAUUUGUUAAAGACAAACGAUAGGGAAAGCCUUCACCAUGGAUGUUAUCAAUGUCAGGAACGAACCUUAGGGGAUACAAGACGAU